rnacentral:piRNA from 1 species
GAGUAUGAGCGCUCCUUGGUUGGUU